AUGUAAGGUAGGUAGGCAGGGAUGGAAGGUAGGUAGGCAGGGAUGGAAGGUGGGUAGGGAUGGAAGGUAGGGAGGCAGGGAUGGAAGGUAGGUAUGCAGGGAUGGAAGGUAGGCAGGGAUGGAAGGUAGGUAGGCAGGGAUGGAAGGUAGGUAGGGAGGGAUGGAAGGUAGGGAGGGAUGGAAGGUAGGUAGGGAUGGAAGGUAGGUAGGGAUGGAAGGUAGGUAGGGAUGGAAGGUAGGCAGGGAUGGAAGGUAGGCAGGGAUGGAAGGUAGGUAGGGAUGGAAGGUAGGAAGGGAUGGAAGGUAGGAAGGUAUGGAAGGUAGGUAGGGAUGGAAGGAAGGUAGGCAGGGAUGGAAGGAAGGUAGGCAGGGAUGGAAGGUAGGCAGGGAUGGAAGGUAGGUAGGCAGGGAUGGAAGGUAGGUAGGCAGGGAUGGAAGGUAGGGAUGGAAGGUAGGGAUAGAAGGUAGGCAGGGAUGGAAGGUAGGCAGGGAUGGAAGGUAGGCAUGUAUGGAAGGUAGGUAGGGAUGGAAGAUAGGCAGGGAUGAAAGGUAGGCAGGGAUGGAAGGUAGGUAGGCAGGGAUGGAAGGUAGGUAGGCAGGGAUGGAAGGUAGGGAUGGAAGGUAGGCAGGGAUGGAAGGUAGGUAGGGAUGUUAAUGUCAAUAGAAAAGUUUAAACUCUGAUUCCUG
ensembl:lncRNA